UAUGCGUGCUGCGUCAUUUCCGGUUCCACUUCCUGGUCUGAAUUGUUUGUGUCUGGACUCCGGCGGCUGCUCGCGUCUCCUCCGCAGACUGAACUUUACCGUCCUGCUGAUCCUCUGAGACGCAGAAAAGACAGCACCGUCACUGGAGGUGAAGGACGUCUCCAUUGUCCUCGACACCGCAGAGAAAAUAUCCAGAAGAUGGACGGAGCUGCUGCGGCUUCAACAGGCCUAUCAUCAACUUAAUCCAAGAUUAGAGAUGACAGACAUGAGUGAUUGUCCAUGUGAAUGGAUAAUACGGUCCAUUCUUAUUGUAGAGAGAUCCUAUUGUUCAUUAAAUAAGAUUUUACUCACUUUGGUUUUGAAGCGGGCUGAUGAACUGAGACUGCUGUUUUGGCUGAAACACAGGAAAAGGAGUCUCACAGAAACUGGACUGUCUAGGACUGAACACCUCACUCUGCAACUGGUUGCUGGACUUCCUGACCGGAAGACCACAGGCAGUCCGGGUCGGCAGCAACGCAUCCAGCACCAUCACACUGAACACAGGGGCCCCCCAAGGAUGCACGCUCAGCCCCUUACUCUUCACCCUGUUGACCCACGACUGCACACCAACACACAACAGCAACCUCUUCAUCAAGUUUGCGGAUGACACUACUGUGACGAUGAGUCACGAUGCCAGCUCUCUUUGACUUUCUUCUUUUUCACUUUCUUCUCACUUCCUUUUUUGUGCUUAUUAUUAUGUGUGGUUUGUAUAAUUAAAUGUGUAAUGUUGUUGCUGCUCCA